UACAAAGGUCUCAAGCGUUUGUUCGGAUUCAUUGGGGCGUAAAGGGUGUGUAGGUGGCGCGCUAAGUCGGGUGUGAAAUUUCGGAGCUUAACUCCGAAACUGCAUUCGAUACUGGCGUGCUUGAGGACUGGAGAGGAGACUGGAAUUCAUGGUGUAGCAGUGAAAUGCGUAGAGAUCAUGAGGAAGACCAGUGGCGAAGGCGGGUCUCUGGACAGUUCCUGACACUGAGACACGAAGGCCAGGGGAGCAAACGGG
rnacentral:rRNA from 1 species